CUACGGGUGGCAGCAGUGGGGAAUAUUGGACAAUGGGGGGAACCCUGAUCCAGCCAUGCCGCGUGUGUGAAGAAGGCCCUCGGGUUGUAAAGCACUUUCAGUGAGGAAGAACGCCUGGUGGUUAAUACCCAUCAGGAAAGACAUCACUCACAGAAGAAGCACCGGCUAACUCCGUGCCAGCAGCCGCGGUAAUACGGAGGGUGCGAGCGUUAAUCGGAAUUACUGGGCGUAAAGCGCGCGUAGGUGGCUUGAUAAGCCGGUUGUGAAAGCCCCGGGCUCAACCUGGGAACGGCAUCCGGAACUGUCAAGCUAGAGUGCAGGAGAGGAAGGUAGAAUUCCCGGUGUAGCGGUGAAAUGCGUAGAGAUCGGGAGGAAUACCAGUGGCGAAGGCGGCCUUCUGGACUGACACUGACACUGAGGUGCGAAAGCGUGGGUAGCAAACAGGAUUAGAUACCCCGGUAGUC
rnacentral:rRNA from 1 species